CCUACGGGUGGCAGCAGUCGAGAAUCAUUCACAAUGGGGGAAACCCUGAUGGUGCGACGCCGCGUGGGGAAAUGAAGGUCUUCGGAUUGUAAACCCCUGUCAUGUGGGAGCAAAUUAAAAAGAUAGUACCACAAGAGGAAGAGACGGCUAACUCUGUGCCAGCAGCCGCGGUAAUACAGAGGUCUCAAGCGUUGUUCGUAAUCACUGGGCGUAAAGCGUGCGUAGGCUGUUUCGUAAGUCGUGUGUGAAAGGCGCGGGCUCAACCCGCGGACGGCACAUGAUACUGCGAGACUAGAGUAAGGGAGGGGGAACCGGAAUUCUCGGUGUAGCAGUGAAAUGCGUAGAUAUCGAGAGGAACACUCGUGGCGAAGGCGGGUUCCUGGACAUUAACUGACGCUGAGGCACGAAGGCCAGGGGAGCGAAAGGGAUUAGAUACCCUGGUAGUC
rnacentral:rRNA from 1 species